rnacentral:rRNA from 1 species
AGUGAACGCUGGCGGUAGGCCUAACACAUGCAAGUCGAACGGCAGCACAGUAAGAGCUUGCUCUUACGGGUGGCGAGUGGCGGACGGGUGAGGAAUACAUCGGCAUCUACUUUUUCGUGGGGGAUAACGUAGGGAAACUUACGCUAAUACCGCAUACGACCUACGGGUGAAAGCAGGGGAUCUUCGGACCUUGCGCGAUUGAAUGAGCCGAUGUCGGAUUAGCUAGUUGGCGGGGUAAAGGCCCACCAAGGCGACGAUCCGUAGCUGGCCUGAGAGGAUGAUCAGCCACACUUGAGAUGAUACACGGUCCAGACUCGUACGAGAGGCAGCAGUGGGUAAUACUGGAGGAUGGGGUCAGGCCUAAUGCAGCCAUGCGGCAUGGGUGAUGAAGGCCUUCGGUGUGUAAAAUGCUGUUGUUGGGAUUGAAAAGCGGUUUGUGAAGAGAAGACUGAACUGACGGUACCUGAAGAAGAAGCAACGGCUAACUACGUG